AGUGAACGCUGGCGGUAGGCCUAACACAUGCAAGUCGAACGGCAGCACAGUAAGAGCUUGCUCUUACGGGUGGCGAGUGGCGGACGGGUGAGGAAUACAUCGGAAUCUACUUUUUCGUGGGGGAUAACGUAGGGAAACUUACGCUAAUACCGCAUACGACCUACGGGUGAAGGCAGGGGAUCUUCGGACCUUGCGCGAUUGAAUGAGCCGAUGUCGGAUUAGCUAGUUGGCGGGGUAAAGGCCCACCAAGGCGACGAUCCGUAGCUGGUCUGAGAGGAUGAUCAGCCACACUGGAACUGAGACACGGUCCAGACUCCUACGGGAGGCAGCAGUGGGGAAUAUUGGACAAUGGGCGCAAGCCUGAUCCAGCCAUACCGCGUGGGUGAAGAAGGCCUUCGGGUUGUAAAGCCCUUUUGUUGGGAAAGAAAAGCAGCAGGUUAAUACCCCGCUGUUCUGACGGUACCCGAAGAAUAAGCACCGGCUAACUUCGUG
rnacentral:rRNA from 1 species